GUAAACCACCAUAUCAAUCUGAACAUGACAAUCUUACAGAAUUUAAGAAAAUAACCAGCAUCAGGCCUGGUUAGUCCUUGGAUGGGAGACCAACAGGAAGUAUCAUGUGCUGUAUGAA
rnacentral:rRNA from 1 species